rnacentral:rRNA from 1 species
GAUCAUUAAUGGAGUUGGUUAAUAUGGGGUUUGAUGCUGGCAAGCCAGUUUUCUGGAGUGCAAUGUGCUCGCCCUAUCUUCCAAAAAAACACCCUGUGCACAUUUUUGAGGGAAGUUGUGAUUUAUCUUACAAUUUCCCCCCUUUUUAUUCAUACACUUUAUUACAAUCAUGAAUGUGGUUUGGGCUUGUCAGCCCUUUAAUUAUAAUAUACAACUUUUAACAACGGAUCUCUUGGCUCUCGCAUCGAUGAAGAACGCAGUGAAAUGCGAUAAGUAAUGUGAAUUGCAGAAUUCAGUGAAUCAUCGAAUUUUUGAACGCACCUUGCGCUCCCUGGUACUCUGGGGAGCACACCUGUUCGAGUGUUGUGAAAUUUCUCAAAGCUUUGUCCGCUUAGCCUUGGUUUUAUGGGCUUUGCUGUGUCCUUUGUUGGAAUGGCUGGCCUUAAAAGUAUUAGCUGAUCCUUGUUGUGGUACCCUGGUUCUACUCAAGCGUGAUAAUUGUCUGAUCGCUUGAGGACAUCUUNUGGGAUGGCCGGUUAUCAAUUUUGGGUUGCUUUAUUUAUUNGUCUGGUUCAACAUUUGACCUCGAAUCAGGUGGGACUACCCGCUGAACUUAAGCAUAUCAAUAAGCGGAGGAAAAGAAACUAACAAGGAUUCCCUUAGUAACGGCGAGUGAAGAGGGAAAAGCUCAAAUUUAAAAUCUGGCAAUCUUUGGUUGUCCGAAUUGUAAUCUAGAGAAGUGUUUUCCGUGCUGGACUGUGUGCAAGUUUCCUGGAUAUGGAACAUCAUAGAGGGUGAGAAUCCCGUCCUUGACACAGACUACCAGGACUUUUGUGAUGCGCUCUCAACGAGUCGAGUUGUUUGGGAUUGCAGCUCAAAAUGGGAGGUAAAUUCCUUCUAAAGCUAAAUAUUGGCGAGAGACCGAUAGCGAACAAGUACCGUGAGGGAAAGAUGAAAAGCACUUUGGAAAGAGAGUUAAACAGUACGUGAAAUUGUUAAAAGGGAAACGCUUGAAGUCAGUCACAUUUGCUUGGACUCAGCCUGUUUGGUGCAUUUCCUUGCCGAUGGGCCAGCAUCCAUGUUGUUUCCUGGAAAAGGGGUGAAGGAAUGUGGCUCCUUUGGGAGUGUUUAUAGCCUUUACUUGUAUACAGGAGGUGAUAUGGAGUGGU